UAUAAACGUUUAAUUCAUGCACUGAAAGAACCAGUGCCAGUGACUGUCGUUCAUAAAAAGACCAACAUUAGUCCGUUUACCAAAAGUGACAUCAGUUUGCCUCCCUCUCUGAUGGAAGUUCCAACUAGCAACACUUUGGACGAUUUAAUUUUAUUAUCGGUUCCUCAACUUUAUCAAAAAUACGUUCCUCAUGUAAUUCAAAUGCUAAAAUCGCAUCGAUAUGACUGGAACGAUCAGGGACAAUUAAUUAUUAACAAGUACAGAUUAAGAAUACGUAGAUGGGGAACUCCCUAUACUUACAAUGUUCUAAAAAUUGUAUUGAUUAGCCAAUCAGCGUUCGGCACUGAUACCCAAUGAGGAAAAUUCGAACUAAAAAUGACGUCAUAUAUCACCUCCUAAACAUGCCUUCAUCACGUGAUCAGUGACGUAUAUAUGACGUAGUUUGUAAUGCGCGACAGUCCUGUUGUACUUAGGAGACCUUUCUUUUUUAAAUUUCAUUCGAAAAUUAUUUUACUUCAUUUCUUAAAUUUAAAACUUCAUAUAGCAUUUUUCCUUUAAAAAAUUAAAAUGUCUAUAUAACAAAAAUACAAAUUUGUUCCGAUAGUGAAUAAAUGAAUUGCAUGUUUUUACAGCAAGAAAUGACCACUAUAAAUACAGCAUAUACUAAAUUCUUUAUUUAAAAAUGAAUUUUAUAAUUAACAAAUAAAUAUACAAUAUGAGCUUACAAUAUAAGUUUUAUUAAACACACAUCAAAUUUUCAAUAGAUAUUCUAAAUAGUUUUAUCA
rnacentral:lncRNA from 1 species